CCUGAUGCUCACCCAAAUUAUCAUCAGGCACACUGCCAACUGAGCCCUGUGGUCCUGAACUUGUGGUGCCUGUCCCUGUUACCAAUUACAAGAAUUAACCACUGAAAUUCAAAUUACAACUUCACACAAUAAUAAUUGGCGAAUUAAUGGAGAGAAAGGUAAAUGCAGCUAAAAGACUAUGAACAGAAUUUCGCUCAACUUUACACUAUCUACUAAAUAUUAGUGUGAUGAUUUUUCAAAAUAUUUAUGAACACUGGUAAAAAAGAUGGAGAUUUCAGGGGAACAUUGCAUCAAAAAUCACAGUAAGGCUAAGUGAAACCAAGUCUAGCGAUCAGGCUGACAGCGCAGGGGACAAAAGUUAGCAGAUCAAAGGAAUGUCACAUAGAGAUCAUAGCUAGAAGCAUUUAAUAAAUACUAAUUUACUAAAAUUAUUAACUACUGACUUAAAAUCAUAUAAAAGAGAAGCAAAACCAAAAAGGAUUCAUGCAAGUAAUUUCCAUCCCUUAGAAGUGGUUUCAUUUAAAAUUAACAUGGAAAAUACCAUUCUAAUCCAAUUAAAAUUGUGACCAAAACAACUGGCAUUAUGCAGAGAUUAUGUUGUAUAGCAGCUUUGGUAUUUACAUUAUCAUAAAAAUUUCUAUAUUUCGUCAUUUCACAAUGUUGGAAUUUCACAUUUUUAAACACCUUUUCACCCAAAACAUUUACAUGCAAACUUUAAUAUCAUAAUUA
rnacentral:misc_RNA from 1 species